rnacentral:rRNA from 1 species
AGAGUUUGAUCCUGGCUCAGAAUGAACGUUGGCGGCGUGGAUUAGGCAUGCAAGUCGAGCGAGAACCUUUUUACGGAAGCUUCGGCCGAAGUAUUAAGGGGACAGCGGCAAACGGGGUAGUAAUGCGUCGGAAUGUGCCCUCAGGUCGGGGAUAGCCGUGGGAAACUGCGGGUAAUACCCGAUAAUCUCGAGAGAGCAAAGGUCCGCCGUCUGAGGAGCGGCCGACGUGGUACCAGGUUGUUGGUGAGGUAACGGCUCACCAAGCCUAAGACGCCUAGGGGGUGUGAGAGCAUGGCCCCCACCACUGGGACUGAGACACUGCCCAGACACCUACGGGUGGCUGCAGUCGAGAAUCUUCGGCAAUGGGCGCAAGCCUGACCGAGCGACGCCGCGUGCGGGAUGACGGCCCUUGGGUUGUAAACCGCUGUCAGAGGGGAGGAAAGCUUCGGCUUGACCGAGCCUCAGAGGAAGCACGGGCUAAGUUCGUGCCAGCAGCCGCGGUAAGACGAACUGUGCGAACGUUAUUCGGAAUCACUGGGCUUACAGGGUGCGUAGGCGGCUUGUCAGGUCAGGUGUGAAAUCCCACGGCCCAACCGUGGAACUGCGCUUGAAACCGACAAGCUUGAGUAAGCUAGGGGUGCACGGAACUUCCAGUGGAGCGGCGAAAUGUGUUGAUAUUGGAAGGAACACCAGAAGCGAAAGCGGUGCACUGGGGCUUGUCUGACGCUGAGGCACGAAAGCCAGGGGAGCGAAC